rnacentral:rRNA from 1 species
AACGAACGCUGGCGGCAGGCUUAACACAUGCAAGUCGAGCGCCCCGCAAGGGGAGCGGCAGACGGGUGAGUAACGCGUGGGAAUCUACCCAUCUCUACGGAAUAACGCAUGGAAACGUGUGCUAAUACCGCAUACGUCCUUCGGGAGAAAGAUUUAUCGGAGAUGGAUGAGCCCGCGUUGGAUUAGCUAGUUGGUGGGGUAAAGGCCUACCAAGGGGACGAUCCAUAGCUGGUCUGAGAGGAUGAUCAGCCACACUGGGACUGCGACACGGCCCAGACUCCUACGGGAGGCAGCAGUGGGGAAUAUUGGACAAUGGGCGCAAGCCUGAUCCAGCCAUGCCGCGUGAGUGAUGAAGGCCCUAGGGUUGUAAAGCUCUUUCACCGGUGAAGAUAAUGACGGUAACCGGAGAAGAAGCCCCGGCUAACUUCGUGCCAGCAGCCGCCGUAAUAC